rnacentral:lncRNA from 1 species
CUUAUCUCUAGCAACCAACUUCAUUUGUAAGAUGUCAAUUACAGGACUGAUUUUUCUGGGAGACUUAGAAUCAUUAGAUAAUGACCAUGAGCCAAAGAUUCACUUUUGAGUUUGGUACGCACUGCUUGAAGGCUGGGUAUGACUAUAUGAUUGUUUUUUUUUUUUUUUCUCUCCCAGUUUGAACACAUUAAUUGGCAGAAGUUUCCCCUGUGAUCUUCCAGUACAACAUUCUUCCUGCAGCCACACCUGACCAGUGGGAGGACUGACUAAAUUCUUCAUCCUCUCCAUCCCAUGCCUUUACGUCUGCUGUGUCUCCCACGUGUUCGUGGAUCGUGCCUGAGGCUGGGACAGACAACUCACAACCAUGAAGAAAAGGCAAAGAGAAUCACAAAGAUGCCAGCCCAACGCUGGGAAGCUACUAGCCUACACCAAUGCUAACAACCAUCCAUUUAUGACUUCUUGUCAUGUGAGGAGAAUGAACCUUCUGUGUUUGGAAAAACGAAGGCUCAGAGACCCUGGAUCACCCAGUGAGUAAGCAGCAUGCCCAGGUCUAGCAUACCAUUCUCCUGCUUUCAGCUCUUGUAUGCUAUCCACAUGCUUACAGCAUGCUUGGACAAUGCAGAAACUCAGCUUUGGUACUUUGGGUAAUCUGUUCAUCUGUGAAAUGGGAUAACUCAUGCUGAUCUACGGACAAAAAUAACUGUAAGGAUGACAUGAAAUGAUGCAGAUAGCAGGCACUCAAAAAACAGAGCUCUAUCAACAUUCCUGCUUCCUCUCAAUGACUGGCACUGAACCGUCCUUAACACCCCAUUUCUAAGCCAAGAGAUUCUUCAAGACCAAGCCAAGUCUGCCGUGCCACUGUCCCCCGCAGGAGCCUCUGGCUUCAUCAAGCCCACAGAUCCACAGUUGCUUUGUUCGCCGAGUGACAUUUCUAUCAGGCACCACCUUGGGCUGGUCACAGAAACUUCGUAGGAGCCAUCAGUCCUGGAGCUCAGUACCCCAGGGUUGAUGCCUUGACAACUGUGUCACCACUCUCUUAUUACCUAUCUGGAGGGUCACCUUUCUGACAGACAGCUUUGAAAAUUCUUUAUUAAACUUUUUUUUUUUUUUAGUAGAAAAGACAGAUUAUAGUUCUGACAUGCUCUACUUAUUAUGACAUGAAACAAUGUUCUUAUUUCUUUUGCUUGGGGAUGUUGAACUGCUGGCUUUGGCCCAUGUGGGGUGUCACAAUGAUGUAUUAGUUAUUAGGUCAGACUUUCCGUAACCUUUACGUAUUCAUUUAUUCACUCACUCACUCACUUACUCACUCACUCACCUAUACAUUUGAAAGUCUACUGUGAACCGGGUCUAACAGAGGUUAGACAUUUAGUGGAUUACACAAAAAAAACAAAACAUUUACCCUCAGUCUUUGAUCUGAGGAUGUCCCAGUUUAAUAGGCAAUGCAAGGGGGCAAAAAAGAUAAAAUUUUACCGCCGUGGUAAGUGAAAUAAAAGACCUAUGUGUUGUACUUGGUAACAUAACUUUGGCAGGAUGGAAACCAGAAUUGGUAGUGUAUCUGUAGAGUGGGGUGCCUGGUUCACUCUGGAUGAUGACAGGUGGUACAGCAGCAGAGGCUGAAGACUAGAUUUUGUUGGAAUACUCUAUAAUCUGUGUAUAGGAGAAGGAAGAGGAGCUGAUCAUUCACAGUUGAAAUAAGCUGGUGACAGGUACUCCUCUCCAAAAGAAGGCCUGGGUGCCAGAUUUUGGGCUCAGAGUGACUUAAUAGUUCUGAUACACAUUUGAUAAAUAAUAUCACAAAGGCACCACUGAACAUCUGAAUAUAUGAACAGAGAGCUAUGAAAAAGGUAGUGACUAACCCUGCCAGGGGAGGUGUAGGAAGUGCCCCAGAAAAUAUGAUAUUUGAAGAGGGCAUUAAGCAUUCAGAGGGCAUUAAGCAUCCAUGAGAAGCGGAAGUAUGGCAUCUGAGCAGAGCAAAGGUGAAGGUGACAUGCUCUGAGAAGGAUGAGGAUUUCUUCAGAACAAAGUAUGAUUGGGGGCUGGGGUGGGAGGUGAAGCUCAGGGCACGUUGGGACCAUUUUAACACCAGGUCAUGGAGUCCAGGCUUUCUCUUCAGUAGGACUUGCUGGGCUGGUGGCUGGUUUAUGCAGAGGAGUGUUAUGAGAGACUGGAGUGCAGACAAAUCUCUCUGCGGGCGGUAUGGGUUUAUGGGAGGGUAGACUGAAAGCUCAGAGACACAAGGCAAAGAAACAGGUCAGGUGGCUACUACAACCACCCAAAAAGAGAAGCUGGGAGACCUUCCCUCAGGUUUCAAUCCAGCUAAGGCCAGUAAAACCCAUGUGUUCAUUUAGGAGACUCUUGUAUAUUUAUUAAAUAAAUAAACAAAAGAGAAAAGGCCAGGGAUCAAUGAGUUUCUUAAACAAAAAUUUAAAAGGCAAAACUAAGAUAUGUUAAAUAACACCUAGUAGAAUUUAAAGUGUACAUACUUUGUGGAAUAAAUGCAUAAAGACAUCAGAAAUAAUCAAGUAUGGAAUAAGGGUAUGGGUCUAGUGAAACAGGGCACUGAAAAAGCUGUAAACUUCCCAGGCAGAAACCUCUGCUCUCAUCCUGAGUCUGUUUUCAUUUAUGUAUCAUGUGAUAUCAUGUAUCAUGUGCAAUACAUGUGAUUAGUAAUUUGACUCACCCCCUCAGUAAAAGUCACAGUUCCUGUUUACCGAGCACCUGCUAGGCUUAAUCAUGCACAAUGCUCAGGAUACCACCUAUAUUAUCUCAGCCAAUCUGAACAACAAUGGCAAAGCAGGCUUUAUCAGGCCUGAGGUUCAGAGAGUUUAGGGAUUUACCCAAGGUUGCGGAGCAGUCAGCAGAAUUGAGAUUUGACCCUGAUCUAUCCAGCUGUGGAAAGAUUCUCUGCGACGGUACAUCCUCUGCGAUGGUGCGCCCUAGGCAGUAGAAACCACAGAAGAAAGCCAGAAAACCAGCCAGAUAGAUGGCUGCUGAAACAAUUCAAGAGAGACAUGAUGAUCUACUAUAAUGGCGGUGGAGAACAGAUAGAAAUAAGAAGUCUGUGGCUCAGAGAGACAAAGAGUUUUUUUUAAAAACACACAGCAAACAAGAAGCGGAAUCAGGAUUUGACUCUGUAUCCAACUGACACCCAAACACCAAAUUUUCCAUCAUCUAUGCUUGUUGAAGUUUUUAAUGUAAUAUUCACUCAAUUCCUUUUUAAUAUGCAAGAACUCACAGAAACCCACACAGCCUCCAUAGGAGAACUGGUAUUUAAGCAGUCUCUGCAAAAUCAUAAUAAGGAGGAGGUAAAAGACCAUUCCACUGAAGAGGAGAUGGAAAAAAAGGAGUUUUAGAAAUCUCUCUGCAUGAAUAGAGGAUCUGUUAUUAAAGGCUAUUUUAGGAAGCAAGAAUGGAAGAAUCUGCUCCUCUCCUUUCCCAUUUCCUGGUUCUUGCAUAUCCAUCAAGGAAUCCAUCCAAUGGGCCCUUUGACACAGCUGGGAUAAUGCAGGAAAUCAGCAUUAUUCUUAGCUUACUGAAUGAAUGAUAUGGUGAAGACUCAAAAGCAGAGUCUCCAAGGGAAAUUUAAAAAAGCAUGGAAGUUUUAGGUGGGAGAAUGAAUGACUCAGCAUGCAUGUUAGAAGACUUUCAAGUAUUUGGAGGGUUCUCAUUUGGAAGGUGUAAAACCAGGACAACAACUCUGAAGAAGAUUAGAUUUCCUCUUAGGGUUCAUAUGUAGAAAUCACCAAGAAACAAGAUUCUUCAGAACUGACAUGAGAGAAGAACUUCCUCAAUCACAUGGUGGAAGGCAAUGAGCUGCCUGUAACGGGAAAUACUCCAAUAAAGGUGGUGUGACCACUUGGUGGAGAUGUUGUAGAGAAAAUUCAAGAACUGUAAAGGCCUUUAAAAUCCCUGACAUCGCAGGCUCCUCUGAUUCUGGGAGCUGCACUGAAUCCAAAUGAAUAAUACUAAAACCAUAUUUACCAUAGUCAUUAUCAUGUCUCUAGACAUCUGAGGAGAUGGAUGUUGUCUUUACUGUUUAGAUGGGAGCAUCUAGUCAGGAAUAGAAUCCAAUCACACUAGGAACCAAAUGGACUAGCCACUGAGGUAUAGCAAAUCAGAGUCCCUUAGGGGAGAAGAUGAGUCAUAGAUCAUAAUCCUCACUGGUGUUGUUACAGUCUUCCUGCGCUACAUAGCAUUGAAAUAGGCUGGAAAUGUUCUGUCCUUGGGGUGAUAAAAUAUUCCUUGGUAAGCACACAGAUUCAUUUUCCUAAAGCAAAUGAAUCACUUGUGCUUUUCUUCUCAUAUUUUUUAUCAACAGGGUAAGAACCCUGCCUGUGAAAAAAUCUGUCUAAAAAAUAAGUGUAUAUUUCAAGAGGGACUAUACAAAGAGUAAACACAUGGCAGGUCUCAUGCCAGAGGUCAAACCAGGUUCAACAUAUUUGCAUAUUUUGAUGGGAGCUGUAGAAUAAGGACUACCAAAAUGUACACUUGUUGUGUCAACCCUAAGGGUCUAAAUUUGAACACAAACGGCUUUAGGUAUUGAAGGGAAAACUGUUGCCCAAAGUAUGAAUUCUAUCUAAUAACUCAAUCCUCUAUUGUUUCCCUCUUGGGGUUUAGUAUGCCCACACUGAGAUUUGAAUGCUAAAUCUAGGUCAAACAGAAAUUUGCUCAAGUAUUCCCAGUUCUGAGGACUCGGAAGCUGCUCUGAAAACACUUGUGCUGAAUGACGGCAUUUUACAGAGGCAAUAUGCACUGCAUCUAUUCUUUGAAAAAAUUUUUUUGAGUUCUUUCUCUAUGUCAAGUAUUCUGCUGGGCCUAGGAAUGGGGAGGAUGAGGUAUGGGCCCUUCCUUCAACUAGCUCAUAAUGGUGUGCAGACAGAUUUACAGUGAUAUAAUUCAGUGUUUUUAGUGCUGCAAGAGAGGUAUUUAUAAUGAACAAUGGUUAUGUAAAGAAAGGAAAAAUUGACCAUUUGCUCUGUGUAUUUGGGGGGAAGGUGAGGUUUGUAGGAAAAAGUUUAUCAAAAGAGUUAACAUGUAACCUGUAAGCUGGAUGUUGAAGUUUAUCCUUUCUUAUAUAGGUGAAAGAUGGGACAGUAUUCCAGAGAGAAGGAGGAGAAUAUGCAAAUGUGCCAUUUGUGGAAAAGUGUAUAUAUUUAGGAAAAUGUUAAUAUGGCUAGUCCAUGGGGUUGUACAGGAGACGGGGCUGGGAAGUAGGAGAGGAGAGUGAGUGAUUUUUUUUUACAAACAUGAUCCUUUGGCUAUGGGGAAGAAAAACAAAUACAAAAAGGUUUUAAAGAGGAAAGAGACAUGAUCAGGUUUUAUGAUUUAUAAAUGUAUGUGUCCAUACAGGGAGACUGGAUUGCAAGGGAAAAAAUGGAAUCUGGAAGCAUGAUUAAAAGUUGAUUACAAAAUUUAUAAGUUGGGUAAAAUCUAGUGGUGGUAAGCCUAUGGAGAAACAGAUAUUCUCAUACACUUUUGGUAGAAACGUAAAUUGGUAUAACUUUUUGGAAGACAAUUUGCUAACAUGUAGCAACUUCACUUUUAGCAUUUAUCUUAUAGAUAUAUUCACACACACACAAUGUGACAUUUAGUUGACAACCUAAAUGUCCAUCAAUAGGGAACUACAUUUAUACAAUGUAAUAGGCUGAAAUCAUAAAAGCAGAAUGAGGUGGAGAUUUACAUAUAGAUAUGGAAAAAUGGUGAAGGUCUAUAGUUAAGGGAAAAGUAUGAUUUGCAGUACAGGUUAUAGACAAACAGAUUGGCAGACAGAUAGACAUAAAAUUGGUAACCAUCGUGUUAAAAAUAACUAGAAAAGCUAAGUCAAAACAAACAAACAAAAAUAUAGUUUGAAGGAAGUGGAGACCUUCCAAGUCAUUGAAAAAUUAUAGGUCUAAGAUCCUGGAAAACAAAGAGAUUGGGAGAAACAAGCCUGGUAUUUGAAGUAGCUUUUU